CAUCAAUGCUUUUUUUCUGUGGCAACAUGCAGUGUUACUGUUAUGUAUUAACUUCUCUUUUAUAGUUUAAUGAUAUUUGGAAAGGAGGCCCACAGAGAACUCCAGAGGAGCACAAAGAAGACAGAGAUCUGGACUCUGCAGUAUCCUCUCGGGGCUUGGAUCAGAUUCUGACGCCACCUGCUGGUCAGGCACCCAACCAACCCAGAGCCCGCUCAUUCUUCCAGUCAGUCGCCGUCACCAAGGUGGUGAAACCUGAUGGGACUGUAGAGGAGAGGCGAACAGUCAGAGACAGCCAAGGCAAAGAAGAGACGACGGUGACCCGCUCCGGAGGGCCCGGGGUCCUGGAGGGCCCCGAGCAUCAGAAAGGACCGGCCAUAUCAGGUGGGCAAAACCCCUUUGGAGACAUGCGGGACGAUGACUCAUUAUUCUCAAGUUUCUUCGGAGCGUUUAAAUAAAACGUAAAGUGGAGUAUUACAUGGAGUACAUUGUCUAGCUUUGAUCCCCUGAAAAUGUUGCAAUUUAUGAGUGUUUCACUCCAGAGCUGUGAGUUUGCAUAUGUUAAGAAUAUAUCUGUAUUUAUUAAACAAAAACACUUAAGUAACCUUUGAUUGCCAAAAGGACUCAGCUGGAUUAGGGCCUCUGGCCUGUUGUCAGGGUUACCAAUGUAGACUCCAAACCUGCCAAUCCCUAAAACUAGUGAUUUAACAAAUCAACACAAAUCAGGUAGUUAACAUUUCACAAAUACUUAUUUUAGAAUUUUUCCUGUAGGAUAAGCUUGUAUGGAUGUGAGUGUGUGAUAUGUCAAAUAAAGAGUUUUAAUUUAUUAACA